CAGCUGUGUGUCUUAGGACAGGACAGCCUUGGCAUUAUGACAUCAGCUGUGUGUCUUAGGGACAGGACAGCCUUGGCAUUAUGACAUCAGCUGCAGAUGUGCAACAUUGACUCUUUAUUGUCGCGUCCUACGAGGUAAAUUGAUACCUCUAGCAAAGACGUCACUAUCUAGCCACUUCUCAAUCGGCAGAGACGCCGCUGACAAACUUUAACCAAUCUCAUUUCGGUGUCUCCUUCAGAAGGGAGUGGCUGGCAAAAACACUGUUUUCUCACUGUGCUGUGUUGCGGCAAUGGGGUGCAAGGAGGCAGCUUCAGGGUGGAAAAAGAAAAUAAAGUUUCCAGACUUCCUGGAAGAUGUGGGGAACAGUGAGCAUCCAAAUGGUACAGAGAACAUUGACAUUAGAGUUGGUUUUGUCCAAAUGUUCCACUCUCAUCCUUUUCUAUAAUGACAUUUCUAUUAUAGCCUUGUUGGCCAGCCCCUCAUUUCUGCCCAGGUAAGCAACUCAUUUAAAUGUAAUUGAGCUAUUAGCCACCAUGGAGCUGCUUGGAGCGCUUUGCUCCUUUUAUGCUCCUGAUGUUAAUGGAAACCCUGUCUAGAUCCUCCUGACUCUCAGCAGUAGAGGCAGAGUAAUACGAAGGACAGAGCCUUUCAGCGUUAGCUACCAAUUACACAAUAACCUUUAGCAACUGUUGUACAUACCGGAGAUAGCUUUUGCUGGCUGCCUGGCUGGCUGGCUGCCUGGCUGGCUGGCUGCCUGGCUGGCUGGCUGCCUGGCUGGCUGCCUGGCUGGCUGGCUGGCUGGCUGGCUGCCUGGCUUAUGGAAAUGUCUGCUGGCCAUGGUGGAGGUUAUAGGCUAGGCUACGUUCCUCCCCCAGCCACUCAGUGCCAGAGGCUCAAAACAAAAAGGGGAAAGCAUAUGUUAGUCUUGUGCUACACGUCCAUGAAUUGGCUUUGGGGUAAACAGACCAAGAAGUCAACAUGGUUUAUUCACAAGCACAUGUCAAGCUGAUCCUCAGCCUCCCGUGCCUCUGGUCAUACAGACAGAUCAUAUCGAUCUACCAAUGACACCAGCGAUAUUUAGCUUCAGCUAACCGGGGCUGUGACCUGUGCUGCGUGUCGAGAGUAGAAACCAGCCACUUAUGAUGGACUGUGUUUUUUCUCUUUCACACAAGUAUUUCAUCUGGACCUUGUUGUUUUUCCUGAGUGUCCAAUGAUUGGCUUAACUUGAACUGACAGGAAAACGGUUAAUGACCAAUCAGGAAGCCUCCUCCCCUCCCGCGGCCAAUCCAAACAGAGUGUCAGCCGUGUGAGGGACUGCAUGACAGGCAGGUAGCCUAGUGGUAGAGCGUUGGGCCAUUAACGGAAAGGUUGCUAGAUCGAAUCCCCGAGCUGACAAGGUAAAAAUCUGUUGUUCUGCGCCUAAACAAGGCAGUUAACCCACUGUUCCUAGGCUGUCAUUGUAAAUAAGAGUUUGUUCUUAACUGACUUGCCUAGUUAAAUAAAAAAUGACCUGCUUUCAAAUGUGAAUGGAAUGUAGAAAUUAAUCUGCCCCCUUUAACCCUCAAUUAGAACAGAGGGCCUUACCCUGAUGCAGAGUCUGUAACACUGAGGAGUGUGGGACAUACCAGUCUGGUCUGUGUACUUUCCUUAUGCACAAUCAUAGGCUUCAUGUGAAGAAUGUGGAGCUAUGAGUAACAAUGAAGAUAGUCUAUCACACCUCAGUGUCACAUUAACGUCAGUCUGUCUGCACCACUUCCACUGAGCUUCAAGCCCACCCACACAGCCCAGAAUGCCCUUGCUCACACCGUUAAACGUCAUGCCCUGCCCUUCGUCCUUACAAGGAGCAGUGGAAAUGUAGUCCCAACCUUCCUGGACUCCUCAACCCCUAUGGUAGUUAUAACAUCUCAGGGAGCAGGUCCAUGGGGUCCAUGCCUGUGAUAAAGUGCCUUGUCAGUAGUCGACACGCUCACUCAUACUGGUUGGACGACCAGGGGUCAUCCAUCAAGUGCAGCCCGGAUCUGUGCCAUGGGCCAUUGAACCCCCGACUCCCCCCCGAUCUCGUCCUGUUUGGCUGGACCGUAUAUGCAUUCCAGGGGCCCAAAUCAGUACAGACCCAGGGACGGACUAGCACCAUCUGUCAUCCAGGUUAACAUAGCCAAAGGUCUGGUCCACCUCCGUGUCUGGGGGCUCCGAUCAUAAGUUGUUCACUACGUAGGGAAUAGGGUGCCAUGUUGGACACAGCAUGGAGCCUCCAUAGCCAGGCCCCCAGGUCUGGUCUGCCAAGGUCACAGAGCCCUGAUGGCUGUUGCUAUUCUUUACAACUGACCUGCAAUUUCCUAAUGACAAAUUAAAAGGUACUGAUCACAGCUUUUGAACGUUUUAUUAAUUUCCGUUCAGCCAAGAACGACAACACACGUGAAAAAAAUAACAGCAUUCGAAAAUGUUGUGUGUGUUAAAGAAAGUGUGCCAUAAUCGUUCAAAUCAUUCCAUUGGUUAGGCACAAAGUUCUGAUUUUAAAUGGGAAUCCAUCUGUGAACUCACAAUGCUGUCAGCCAUACUUGGAUUACAGACAAGGUGUGCUUAUAGCCUCAUAUAGAGUAAUCUAAUGUUUAAAGUGCAUGCAUCAUUUACUCGGCUCAUUUCCAAACCCUAGGCAUGAAAUUCACUUUCCUUAGGCUGAUUUUCAGGAAGCCAACAUAAAUGACAGACUGGCUAGCCCUGAAGGUCAAAGCCAAACAAACACACCGCUUUCUUUCCAGCUGCAACAGCAGACCAGAAAACCCACUCCCACAACACUUUCUCCCUACAUGACUAUAUAUUUAGUACAAGGGGGUGUCAGGGGUGCCAUUUGGUAGCCAUUAUGGUAGAUGGAGGAAAUCAGGGAAGUGGUGUGGUGGAGGAUAACACAGGAAGCAAUGCUGGAGACUACCUCCAUAUGCAAACCAUUACCCUGCCUGUUAUC
rnacentral:lncRNA from 1 species